CCUACGGGAGGCAGCAGUGGGGAAUGUUGGACAAUGGGCGCAAGCCUGAUCCAGCCAUACCGCGUGUGUGAAGAAGGCCUUCGGGUUGUAAAGCACUUUAAGCAGGGAGAAAAAGUUAUAAGUUAAUACCUUAUAACCCUGAUGUUACCUGCAGAAUAAGCACCGGCUAAUUCCGUGCCAGCAGCCGCGGUAAUACGGAAGGUGCAAGCGUUAAUCGGAAUUACUGGGCGUAAAGCGCGCGUAGGUGGUUUGUUAAGUUGGAUGUGAAAGCCCUGGGCUCAACCUAGGAACUGCAUCCAAAACUAACUCACUAGAGUACGAUAGAGGGAGGUAGAAUUCAUAGUGUAGCGGUGGAAUGCGUAGAUAUUAUGAAGAAUACCAGUGGCGAAGGCGGCCUCCUGGAUCUGUACUGACACUGAGGUGCGAAAGCGUGGGUAGCGAACAGGAUUAGAUACCCUGGUAG
rnacentral:rRNA from 1 species